rnacentral:tRNA from 1 species
GGGAGUGUAGCUCAGCAGUAGACUGCUUGCCUAGCAUGCAUGAAGCUCUGGGUUCAAUCCCUAGCACUGCAA